rnacentral:lncRNA from 10 species
CUGGGCUGCUGCUUCUCCCUUUACUUUUAAAAAUUGUUUUGCCAGUAAAGUCUCAUCUAUUGUACAUUCCUUGUUACGGGGAAACUCAAGUGGCUGUACAGGCUGUUCUUGGAGCCACAGUUAAAAGCGCUUUGACUCAAACACACAUGUGGCGUCAUCCUGAGCUCCGUUUGCGUGGGGCCGGAACACCGGACUAGGAAACCUCUCCCUGCUUUAGCAACUGAGUGUGGCUAGAUUGAGGGACCACAGGGGGUGGCUCUGGAUGCAGCAAUCCAAGUCCCCUUUUCAGGGAGGGUGACCUCUUUCCGAAGUUCAGUGGAUGGCCCCCUUCCAGGGUUAGGGAGACAGGAGGAGGAGGAAGAAGAAAAGGAGGAGGAAAGCUCUCAACAGCCCCCCACCCCCAACCCAUCCAGGAGAGAAGGACUGCAGUCCCCGAGACCAGCUGGAGGAGUGGCGUGUGCAUGGUGUGCCCUCAGGGUAGAGCGCGCCAUCUUGGAGAGAUGCCUCUUUCAUUCACAAAGCGGAUCUGUUGCAGAGCCCAGAGCCCCGGGGAGAGCAGGGCGGCGUCCAAGUGCUUGCUGGGUUUGGCUUGCACUCCCUCUCCCUUAAAGAAGACAGAGGCGGAAGGGAGAGGCUGUUCUUCGGAGGCGAGCCUCAGGCACUGCUAGACUUAGUAGGAAAGAUAUUGCUGGGGUCUUGGCAAGCCGUAGGUGCAGCGCUCCCCAUCGUCAUUCCGGUGCGGCUGGUUACUGUCACCCUGCCUCCUCCCCGCCGGCCUGAGAGCCUCUCUGUUCCAGAUCCAAACAUUUCCACAUUAGGCAGCCUGCAUGUGCAUUUCCCUGGCAGUGGAGGGAAAGGCACCCCUGUGACCUGGGAUGACCGACGACGGGGACUUGCCCUCCUCCCCCACAGGCACCAGGGGCGUGAUGAGAGCUUAGCUGAAAGGAGAGAAGACUCAGCAAGCACAUCACCUUGAAGCUGACCUGUCAGCCAGAUUUCGCAGCACCUGCCUGUUCCAGCCUGAGGGGCUGCGAUUCAUUCCUUGGGAAAGAGAGCUGCAAAUUCCCUCUCUAGGCCACAGUCCAAAUCCUUGCUCUUCUCUCUCAGGUUCUGGAAGACAGAAUGGAGGCAUCUACAGAGCAAGGACAUGUUUUCUACCUGAAUUAGCUUUUCUGACACCUUGAAACCAUCUCUAAGAAAUUGAUUUUUUAACAUACACAUAUACAGGUAAACAUUUAAAUCUGUGCCAUAAUGUAUUUGCACUUCGAGUCCCCCUGAAGUCCUAAGUCACAUGCUUCUCUUC